GCUCUGCGCACGCGCCGCUCCGAGGCCCGGCGGCGCUCCGGGGGGUCGCGGAGGGCGCGCGGGACCGGCGGGACCCGGAGCUGUGAGGGCGGGAGGGGCUGGGGGGCUGCGGGGGCUCCGCUCGGCUCCGCUCGGCUCCCGGGGCUGGCAGGGCUCACUGUGGAGCGCUCGGGAGGAGCACCAUUCCGUGUGGGGGCUCGUCGCGGAGGAGCCGGACCAGCUGCAGAGCCUGUUGCGGCCAAAGCAGUGCGAGCUGGCACCGGCUGUGCCAAAGCAGAGGAACUGCCCAGGCUGCCGGAGAUGCUGAGGAAGGGCCGACGAAUUGGUGGUUACCGGGACAACCCAUGGGCUGUAGCUGAGCUCCACCCACCGCCUGUCCAAGGAGCUGCAGCUGAGGAACAAAGUGAAGCGGGAGCGGAAUGCCGGACUGCAGCACCAGAGGGAGCGUUGGAAGGAGCACAGCUUGGAGGCAGCGGUGCUGGAGAAGCGUGUCAGUGAGCUGCCAGAGCGCCUGGGGAAGAGAAAGGCAGCUCUGCCCCAGGAGGAGAAUGUACCGGGUUUCUUCAGGUGGGAUUUCCCCACAGCCAGUGGCUUCUGCUCCAAGGGGAGUGGCAGCAGUAGGUCCUUCUAUCCAGUCCUCUGCUACGCCAUGUAUUGCUUCCAGACCUGAACUUGGGGUAAAAGCAGCAUUCUUGAGUGGGACACAAGCCUUGCCGGGCAGCUGAGGGGCUGCUAAAAUCACAAACUCCGCCCAACGUGGGAGCUGGGAACCGUUGACAAGCCGAAGCUCCUGCAGAUGAGAGCUUACAAUUACUAGUUCUUAUCCAGACAUGUUUUGGUUCACCUCACAGCUCUGUUUUGGUGUUUUGGGUUCUUUUUUCUGUUUGUUUUUAAAGCAAAGACUUAUUUACAAUGUGGGUCUCACUACUUGCAAUUUUUUUUUUUAGUUCUCUUAGUGAACAAUUUGAGUUGUUAGACAGCGUGGACUGCAGAAGGAUUUUUUGGUAAACUGAUUGUUUUUUAGUUUAUUUUAAAGCACUCCUAAAAACUCUA